ACCAAAAUCAAGUGUUCCCUCCGUCCCAUACCAUAAUGUAAGAUGUUUUUUUAACAUCAAACUAGUAUUAAAAAACGUCUUAUAUUAUGGGAUGAAGGGAGUAGUAAGCUACCUACGUAAUUCAGAUUCUAGUGAGCUUCUCCUCCACCAUCAUGGCCAACUUCGCCGCCCAGCUCAAGGAUAGUUUUUUCGGCCUCGUCGACCGCAUCAUUGGCCGUGGCCGCGUCGGUGCGCUGGCGCCGGCCGUGCAGGAGCACAUCGAGAUUCGAUCGAGAGGCCCCGAUGUGUCAGGAGGAUCGGAGGCGGGAGUCAAUUAGACAACGUUGGUGCUACUUGUCAAUUACUAUCUGCUAAAGUCCCGAGAUUAUUUCUCGCAAACAAAAAAAUGUCCGGAGGUUAUUGCUUCUCUCCAGAUUGAUGCAUGUGGCUUCCCUUGUUCUGAAAGUUGAAACAGAUGCAUUGAUUGCUGGUGUUC